CGGCUGCAUCACUAAAGGGGGAGUGGGCGGCGUUACGCAUACACGCUGGGAGAGCAGGAAGCGGGCAGGCUGUUUAGCAGGGCGCCGCAGAAAGGGCAGGGCAGAUUUUAUCCUUAAAAGAUCGGGCACUGCUAAAACAGCUUAGCGUGUACACUAAUAUCUUAUCUGUCCUGCUUGCAAUUCACAUCAGUGUUAUAUGCUGGGGUGUAGCUAUGCCUUUUGGGACCCAAUAGCAUAAUUCCACGCCAUAAUUACUCUGGUAUGGCUAUUAUCUGUACGUUAUGCUCUUAUAUUUUACUUGAAUGUUUAUAUACGGUCCAUUCCUGUUUACGUAUGUGUGAAUUUUCCCAGUAUGUAUAGUUUUCUCCCAAUAUUUUUGAUUAUAUUUUUAGAGAUAUAUAUUUGUAUAGAUUUAUAUUUUUUUGUAUAUAGUGUAUAUUUUAUUUUUCUAUUUUAUUAUAUAUUUUAUAUAUUAUUUUAGAUUUAUAUAGACUGUAAGCUCCUGCGGGGCAGGGACUGAUAUGGAUGACAUGUGUUCUAUAUACAGCACUGCACUUAUUUGUGGUACUAUAUAAAGAAACAAUAAUAAAUAUGCAUGUAUAUCAGGAACAUAUUAUCGCGCCUCUAAUUUUUUUUUUCAGGUGGACCAUCUCCACGAUUGAAUUGUGAGGUCAUCAGCCGCCAUCCUUCAUCUCUGGGCUUCUGCGCGGUCAUCUUUACUACAAAGCAUACUCUGAAGAUAGAACCGCAGGAAUAGUCGACCCAAGACAGGUGGACCAUCUCCACGAUUGAAUUGUGAGGUCAUCAGCCGCCAUCCUUCAUCUCUGGGCUUCUGCGCGGUCAUCUUUACUACAAAGCAUACUCUGAAGAUAGAACCGCAGGAAUAGUCGACCCAAGACAGGUGGACCAUCUCCACGAUUGAAUUGUGAGGCCAUCAGCCGCCAUCCUUCAUCUCUGGGCUUCUGCGCGGUCAUCUUUACUACAAAGCAAACUCUGAAAAUAGAACCGCAGGAAUAGUCGACCCAAGACAGGUGGACCAUCUCCACGAUUGAAUUGUGAGGUCAUCAGCCGCCAUCCUUCAUCUCUGGGCUUCUGCGCGGUCAUCUUUACUACAAAGCAUACUCUGAAGAUAGAACCGCAGGAAUAGUCGACCCAAGACAGGUAAUUAAUAUUAUUAUUAAUUACCGAUAGCGCUCAGGCUAGACUUCACUUCUAGACCUGUAGAGGCGUGGUAAUAUGUUUCUGGUGUACAUGGAUAUUUAAUAUGUAUGUUUUCUAGUAGGUGAAAAUUUUCAUUUUCACCCACCUUUGUAGAAAUUUAAGGAGGCCCCUUAGUGCGAAAUCACCCGGCCAAAAUGCAACACAGUUUGUGUUUGAGCACUUGUGUGUUAGGACACCUGCAAGGACAUAUUUAUACAACACUGUGGGGGUAGCUUUUCUAAGGUACGAUUUAUCAAAACUGGCCUUGAUGGUGACCUUGAUAAACUGUGUCUUAUUGGGGUGUGGCCUGGAUGGGCAUGGAGUAAGACGUAAGUCUUACUGCUUUCCAGCCCGAUAACUCUGUUUACCUAUCCUGUGGCCACCAAAAGACUCAUCCAUAUUUUUUUUUUUGUACAAGCGUGUGUCUACCUGCCACUCUGUACUGACCAAAGGGUCUCCUCCAGCUCCAGACUGCUGGUCGCCAUCUUUCCGGGCUCUUCUGCUCAGGCUUGGACUGGGCUGUGUAUGGGUAUUUAGGGUAAUCCCUGGUGGGCCCAUGAAAUUCAUAGCCACGUCCUCUGCCGCUGGAGGGCGAUGCCUAGUUGAGGUCUCUGGAGUGGUUUAUUAUAGCAGGCUGCACAGAGCAGCAGGGCCGUUGACUGAGCCGGCUGAUGGCUGUGGAUGGUGGAAUCAGUCUCUGUACUGCCAAUCACCCCACUUGCACUGGGCUGUCUGGCCUUAUGUGUGUGUGUGUGUGUGUGUGUGUGUGUGUGUGUGUGUGUGUGUGUGUGUGUGUGUGUAUAUAUACAUGUACAGGUUGAGUAUCCCUUAUCCAAAAUGCUUGGGACCAGAAGUAUUUUGGAUAUCAGAUUUUCUCUGACGUCCUAAGUGGAUGCUGGGGACUCCGUCAGGACCA